UUUUUUUAAAAGGUACACGAAACAAAAUUUUCAUUUUUUUAGAAGAUACACGAAAAGGUUAUAGGCUAUGAUUCCUGCACAAGAUACCUUUCAACAAAAAGAUGCUGAAAAUCAACAAUCAAAUUGCCGUACUGAAAAUCAAGACAUAAGGAAAAAGCCAGACGGAGACAGGAACUUUGUCGAAGCAAGAAAAAUUGCAAAGUCUUAUUGCAUCAAUAUCAAAGUGUAGUAGUACUGAAAAUCAAGAUCAAAGUUAUUUACGGCAAACUACAAGCAAGGAAAUCACAUCAUCAAAAUACUACAUCGAGCAAAACCAUCAAAGACA